CGGCUGUGCAGCGAUGGAAUUUGGUUGAGGCCGGCUGGGUUCGCGUUGGUGGGCAGGCUAGAGGGCACAUGCGGGCUCCGACGUGCAGGGCAGAUCAAGUGCAGGGAGGUCUGGUCAUAGGUGUGGGCGAUGCAGCAACAGGAGAUCGGUGAUCUGUGGCUGCAUGGAUCGGUGAUCCGUGAUUGGAUCAAAGGCGGUGCGUGCAGGUGUGGGGGCUAGGGAGCAGCGUCGAUGGGACUGGUGGUCGGGCUGAGCGAGGAGCCAAGUUGGAGGCCCGUGGGACUAGUGGUCAGGUUGGUCGGUGAGGUGGA
rnacentral:lncRNA from 1 species